rnacentral:ncRNA from 1 species
UUUUGAUUGCGGGGGGACUCAUCUUGAGUUGAGAAGGUUAAAACCUGACCCUUUGAACCUGUUAGUUAAUACUGACGUAGGGAGCAGCACAUCAUUUUCU